GCAAGUCACUUAACCCCCAUUGCCCCGUAAAAAAAAAAAAAAAUGUGAUUCAGAGGUUGGCCUGGGGGAUCAGAUCAUAGCCGGGUCCUGAAGCUUCCACACCAACAUAAACAGCAAAAGACUUGAGAGCAGAAAAGAGAAAGCUCUAAAGCAUUCUGUGGAUCAAGGCACAGGUUCAGGGAGCUCUCCAUCACUACUUCUGACCAAAGUGAAAAGGAGUUCUUGUGAUGUCCAGAAAACCUCACCCGAGAAAAUGCCAGACCAGGGCAACUCCAUCACCUCCCGAAGAAACCCUGGGGAGAUGUCAUUCCCACCACUGGAGAAACUAGAAGAACUUAACAUCUGAUAGACUUACCUGCCAGCUGCUGUGGACUCCUCAAGCCACCAGGGUGGUUGCUGUGCUCAGGGAAGCCAGACUUUUAUACCUUCUGGCAACAGAGCAAGGAAGAUUUGUGGGAGAAAAAAGAAAAUGCUUG